rnacentral:lncRNA from 1 species
CUUUUCUGCUGCUGUAAAAUCAUGAAUUUCAGUUGCUGAGAUUACGAUCUGUGGGACGCACUAAGUGGGAUGUAAACCAUAAUGCUGAUGUUAGCUGGCUUCCCAGCUGAAGUGCCGUAUGCAGCAGCUAAUCACCUGCUUCUGAGAAGAGAGGAGGUUUUUCUUUUAUCUCUGCAAACUGCCUAUCUGGAAAUUAAUUACAAGGUAAUACACUGGUAAUCAGCCAUUCAUAGAUAGAAUGUAGGUGCACAGUUUAAUAGCAUUAUGCUUAUAGUUUAUAGAAGAAGAAAACAAUUGCUGAAUGGACA